UUUCGCAAUGCCCGAAAGGGUGACGAAGCGACGCCGCGUGAGCGAAGAAGGCCUUAGGGUUGUAAAGCUCUGUCGAGGGUUAUGAAGUAUAGAGGGGUUAAUACCUCAUUUAUUUGACAAAGGCCCAAAAGGAAGUCACGGCUAACUCUGUGCCAGCAGCCGCGGUAAUACAGAGGUGGCAAGCGUUGUUCGGUAUUAUUGGGCGUAAAGAGCACGUAGGUGGUUUUGUAAGUCAGGUGUGAAAGCCUUCUGUUCAAAGGAAGAACGGCAUCUGAAACUGCAGAUCUUGAGUGUAGGAGGGGAGAGUGGAACUUCUGGUGGAGCGGUGAAAUGCGUAGAUAUCAGAAGGAACGUCGGCGGCGAAAGCGACUCUCUGGCCUAUUACUGACACUGAGGUGCGAAAGUUAGGGGAGCAAACGGGAUUAGAUACCCCGGUAGUCCUAACCGUAAACGAUGGGCACUAAGUAGAGGGGUUUU
rnacentral:rRNA from 1 species